rnacentral:rRNA from 1 species
UUUUGGAGCGGCCGAUGUCUGNUUAGCUAGUUGGUAAGGUAAUGGCUUACCAAGGCGACGAUCAGUAGUUGGUCUGAGAGGACGGCCAGCCACACUGGGACUGAGACACGGCCCAGACUCCUACGGGAGGCAGCAGUGGGGAAUUUUGGACAAUGGGCGCAAGCCUGAUCCAGCAAUGCCGCGUGAGUGAAGAAGGCCUUCGGGUUGUAAAGCUCUUUCAGUCGAGAAGAAAAGGUCGUGACUAAUAAUUGCAACUUAUGACGGUAUCGACAGAAGAAGCACCGGCUAACUACGUGCCAGCAGCCGCGGUAAUACGUAGGGUGCGAGCGUUAAUCGGAAUUACUGGGCGUAAAGGGUGCGCAGGCGGUUCUGUAAGUCAGAUGUGAAAUCCCCGGGCUUAACCUGGGAACUGCGUUUGAAACUACAAAGCUAGA